rnacentral:lncRNA from 1 species
GAGUUGAGGCCAAUGGCGGCUCCACCAUCCUGUGGCUAUGAUUCCUGAACUUGUGGUCUCCUCAGUUGAUGAGGUGAAGAAAGAAAGCCUGGAGAAUUAUGCACGAGCUUCUCACUGUCUCAGCCCACAAGUAACACACCUCUUUCCCUCACAGCCCACACUGGCUGGAACCAAUCACAUAGCCCUGCCUAACUGCAAGGGAGGCCAGAAAGUGCAACACUUUCUCAUGGUCACGGGUGAGCACGAAACAUCUCUCCAAAUAUGGGUUGGGAAGAUUAAGAGACUAGUCCAGAAGAAAACAGUCUCCAGGGAGAAAUAUAUCUGGGAAUAGGAAUCGAGAAAGCAACCAAGAGAGCAGAACUGAGUGGAUGAGAGGAACUGUCAGACCACAUCUGCAGCUCUGAUUAGUCAAAUCCGAAAUGUGCCUGUUGAUCUACUAUUCCGUGGAAAUACUGGAAUCACCAGCUCAAUAAUAAGAGGAAAGUAAAUAAUACCAUACUUGCGUGGAUAAUUCCCCUCUGCUCAUACCUUCAUUCAGGUCAACAUAGAUCUAUCAUACUCCUACAGUGUAUAAGGGACGUGCUAAGCUUGAAGUACAUUCAUUCUAAAAAUCAAAAUACAAAGGCAUGGGAAGACUAAGAAAAUUUCAUAAACCUUCAUUAAAUUAUCAGAAAUACCUGGGAUUCUCAGCUCCAUUUAUAAAGAAACCAGAGUUACAGUUCUUCCAUUACUGAUUGCUUUCUGGAUUGAAUAUUUGAACUCUGCUUUAGUGAUUCCUCUUGCUUAUAUGUGGGAGGAAGACCCCCUACCCUGAGCCAGCAGCUGGAGCACAGCCUGAACACACAGGUUCUCCCUCCUUAAGUGUUGGGCUCUAGAUUCAAGGUUUGAGUACCAUAGCCUUGAUCAGCAGAGAGAACUAACUACCUAGUUUCUACAGCUUUGCUUACUGCCUCUAAAGAUAGACAUUAACACCUUAUUUUUGAAUAUUAAUUUAGAGUUUACAAGGGCCCUAUAACCUUAAUUCAUCUCAUCUCUGUAACAGUCCUGUGAAGUAAGAAUUAUGGUACCCAUUUCAUGGAGGAGAAAACUCAGGGAACUCAGGGGACAAUCCUUUGGUGGUAUCUCUAGUUGGUGGCAAAACCAGGUCUGGGAUUCUGUUCCCUUAACUCUUGAGUGUCACUACUCAGUGGUUUUGUUUUCCAAGGAAGAAGGCCUGGAUAUUAUGGAUUUUUUUAAAAAAAUCAAGGUAAAGGAAAAUAUGUAACAACAGAAAAUAAGUGUUUAUAAUAUCAUGGUGAAUUUAGAAAGGGUAAAAUUGCGUAUGUGAUUAUAAUUAUGUGAAAAGAUGCAUAGCGACUAUACCAAAAUUCUCUCCAGGGCAUGACAGAGUCGUGGGAAUCGCUGGAACGUUUCUAGAGUCUCAGGUAUUUAUUCAUAGCAGUGCAAGAAUGGCCUAAUACAUCAAGUAAACAGAUUAUUCCAACACAACAGAGAGCACUGUGACAAGGCUACGAGGUCACAAAGGGAAGAACAAGGAACUCUGGCUGGCGGUGAGAGUUUUCAGUGAAGUAACAAUAUCUGACUAGGGUUUUGAAGAAUGAGCAGAAGCUCUGCGUCAGAUGAAGAAGAGACAGGAGGCCCUCCAAGCAAAGGAACCACUCAUGUCAAGACAUGGGGCAAAAAGAGAGGAUGUAUUUGGAGAACAGAGAGUAACCGAAGGCUAUCAUUCAAUCAGUGAUAGUCUUCAUGGAGGUUAAUAUCAAAGGCAACCUGAAUUUCCUCAGACUUCAUGAGCUGGCGGUGAAGGGUGAGAUCACACAAGCAGUAAUAACCCAGCUCUCCCUGGCUCACUGCCUUACUUACUGGCCUUCUGGUACUCAGCAAAGCUGUCCCCAUGAGUUUGGGAGUCUCCAUUCCUGUCCUUCCACUCCCCUCAAACGUCUUUCAUUCAAGGUCACGUGGUAACUUGACUCCUCUCACCACUACUUCUGUGGGAAUGCAGAGGCCAGGCCAGAGCCUGUGGGUGCUGCCCUCCCCAGAGACUUCACUAUGCCCAGCUCCAGGGAGGACUGACUGGAGGAGGGGACCAGGCAUCUCCCCUGCACUCUGGGCCCACAGCAACCCUGUAUACCAGCCCGUAUUAACCUUGCAACGCCUUCCUCCAAAAGGCUGAGACUUCAACCACAGGACCUGGGUGGUGAUCACCACAAAAUUUCUUCCUGAACGUUCUUCUCCAACAACUUCUCACAUUCAGUUAUUCAUUCAACAAACAUUGAGCAACAACCUAAUCUUCUGGGCUCUGGAGACCGAGUUAAAAAGGAGACAGCAGGCCCCUGCCCCCGCUUCCCGACAGGUCACCACAUCUUGAGUGCUAAGACUGUCAUCACAGGGUGAGGAGGGGAAAUGAGCUCAGAGGGGCAGAACCUUCUGAAAGGGCAGAAUGGUUCAAGCAUCCCGCCAAGGUCAGAAGGCGCUGGAUCCAGGGCAAAAAUGAAGACAUAAGGGACCUUAGGUGACAAGGAAGAAGCUCCCAGGCAGCAUGUGGGAUGGACCCAAGGAGAACGUCAGAGAGAAAGAGUUCAGUCUGGUGUCUCCUGAAGCAGGUUAAAAUUAAGCUCGGCAGGCUCGACGUAAAUGUGCAGACAAAGCAAAGCAGGAAGCCUCCCACACUAAAAAGGGAAGAUAAGAAUCACAGAAGCUGGGAUGGUUUUUAUUGAAGGGCAUUUCAAAGCAAAUACAGACAUCUACAGCAUAUUUGUAAAUCCUCCGUAUGUGUAUGGAAACACACACCUUCACACAUCAAAACUGGAUUUGUUCCUGAGUAACAAAACGUCCUAAGAACAAAAUGAAAGAAAACCAAAUAGCAGAAAAAUACUUCCAAUGUAUAUACCACAAAGGAUUAUUUAUCAACUCAACACACCAAGAGUUAAGAAAAUAAUGCAACAGGAACAAAGGGCAAAGGAUAUGUACUGGGAAGACCACAGAGAAAGAAAAUGCAAAUGGCUAAUAAUAUAAAAUAUUUCCUAGGUUCAAUAGUAAUCAGGGAAAGACAAAAUUACACUUUUGACCUCUUAGACUGGCAGUGACAAAGAUUAUUUGAGUGACCAAGCUUUAGUCAGGCUCCUGGAUCUUCUAGGCCCAUCUGGGCACUUCCUCGUAAAAUACAGUUUUAACAAAAGCCCUGCUAAAUUGGUUUACCGAGAACUCCCACCCUCAAUCGAGUUCCUUAGCCCUUCACCUUUCCUCAGGUGAGGGCUGAUCAUCCUGUCCUGUCUUCAGCAAGACUGCUCUAACGCUGACGUUUCCUUUUAGUAAUUUUCCAUCCACUGACACCCACUUGUAAUUUAUAGCCAAGGAGCAAGAUACACUGCUCCUUGGCUAUAAGUUAUUUUCCCUGUUACAUUCAGAGUUGAGCCCAAUCCCACUCCCCGACUACAAAAUCGAUAGCAGUGGUCCCUAUACCUAUUGCAAUGGUCCUAAAUAAAACCUGCCUUACCGUGCUUGA